AAUUCUAUCCAUUGCCAUCUCUAUUUUGUCCAUUAGAAGCCUUAUUUGAUAUUUUUUAUAAUGACUUAAUUUUACUUAGUUUCCCCGGAGAUGGAAUUAUUUGGUGGCUUUGUACUGUUUAAUUUAUCAAAUAAUAUAAUAUUAGAAAUGGUCAGACAGAGAUAAACCAACCUGCACGUUGGGAACGAGUUGGGAUUGUAGGGA
rnacentral:lncRNA from 1 species